CCAAUAGCGUAUAUUAAAGUUGUUGCAGUUAAAAAGCUCGUAGUUGAACUUCGGGAUCAAUGGAACGGUCAUGCCAUAGGUAUGUACUGGUCUCAUUGGUUCUCACCUUCUAAGGAAACAUAAUGUAAUUCAUUUGAUGUUUUGGGGAAUUAGGACUGUUACCUUGAAAAAAUUAGAGAGUUUAAAGCAGGCUAACGCUUGAAUACAUUAGCAUGGGAUAAUGAAAGAGGACAUAGCAUUCUAUUUUGUUGGUUUCUAGGAUCGAUGUAAUGAUUAAUAGGGAUAGUUGGGGGCAUUAGUAUUCAAUUGUCAGAGGUGAAAUUCUUGGAUUUAUUGAAGACUAACUACUGCGAAAGCAUUUGCCAAGGAUGUUUUCAUUAAUCAAGAACGAAAGUUAGGGGAUCGAAGACGAUCAGAUACCGUCGUAGUCUUAACCAUAAACUAUGCCGACUAGGGAUCGGAUGAUGUUGAUUUUUUAAUGACUCAUUCGGCACCUUACG
rnacentral:rRNA from 1 species